rnacentral:misc_RNA from 1 species
UGGACCCUCUGGAAUUGAAAU